rnacentral:rRNA from 1 species
CCCUUAGAUGUCCUGGGCCGCACGCGCGCUACACUGAUGCAUUCAACGAGUUUUUCCUUGGCCGAGAGGCCUGGGCAAUCUUUUAAACGUGCAUCGUGAUAGGGAUAGAUUAUUGCAAUUAUUAAUCUUGAACGAGGAAUUCCUAGUAAACGCAAAUCAUCAAUUUGCAUUGAUUACGUCCCUGCCCUUUGUACACACCGCCCGUCGCACCUACCGAUUGAAUGGUCCGGUGAAGCCUCGGGAUUGUGGCCAGUUCACUUUAUUGGGAGUUGGCUGCGAGAACUUGUCUAAACCUUAUCAUUUAGAGGAAGGUGAAGUCGUAACA